rnacentral:lncRNA from 1 species
GGACUGCACCAUCCCUCUCCAACCCGGGCUCCCAGCUCUUUGGCGGCUCCCGGGCGACCUCCGUCCAGCGAGACACCGCAAUGUGCAGAGGGCACACGGAGCACGAGGGCAGAUGAAGCCGUGGGCGGAGAUGCGCCAUCGCCUCAGAGCAGCCACCCGGGUGCGCGCCUCAGUGUCACGGCGCUUUGUGGACGGACCCUUGGCAGGAGAGGCGCUGGGGUCCUGAGGGGUCUAGGCUGUCCUCCUGCUUGGAGCGUCUUGUCCGUACCUAGGGUCGUCCUCUCAGACGCAGAUCGUGUCUGUUCAGCAUCACCGUGCUCACCCCUCUGUCUCCACAGCAGGGGCUCCGUGGGGAGGGACUCUGUUUACACCUGGAGCCCCACACACCAAGGACCGCGCCUGGCACGUUGUAGCUGCUCAGUCAACGUUUGCUGAGGGAUUGAAUGACCGUCACGGGCUUGUAGACCCUGCAGCUGAGUGAGCAAAAACAACAGGCUCAGUCCUAGAGGGCGGUGCAGGCUCCCCAGGUCGUGUUCACCCAGGCUCACCGGAUGUGAGACCAGCGGGGAGCAGGGACGACCUGCAGGGGACUCAGGGGCGCUGCUCUAUGGUGGCCUGGCCAGGGUCAGAGGGCGCUGGACACGGGGCCUGCAACCCCAGCUAGGCCGUGCUGGCGCCCGGUUAGGCUUUCAUUCCAGAAGGGUGUGAGCUCCGCGGGGCAAAAGCACCUAUCUGAGCGGC